AUGAUUGGUGAUGAUGAAGAUUCGGUUAUGGAGAGUGGGAUGGAGAAGAUUGCAGAGAGAAGUUUGGAGAAUUUCAGUCAGAGAGUUUGUGGUGAUUCUUCAGGAUUGUUGAAGAAUGAAGGCGGAGAUGAGAGGAGAAGAGAGCCUUUGUUCUGUGAUUCUUCAGGGAAUUUUUUUAAGAAUGCCAUUGAAAGAGGUAAAUUAUGUUUAUAUAUUCUGUUACCUUGGAUCUAG